rnacentral:rRNA from 2 species
CUGACCGCGCGAAGGUAGCAUAAUAACUCGUUCUUUAAAUGGGGACUUGAAUCAACGGCAUCACGAGGGUUACACUGUCUCCUUUUUCUAAUCAGUGAAACUAAUCUCCCCGUGAAGAACCCAAUUACACCCCCAACUUCUAUAACUACUGAACUUUAAGGACCCUGUACAAUUGGUUUUAGGUUGGGGCGACCACGGAGUAUAACAAAACCUCCACAAUGAACGGAAUUAACUCCUCAUCUAAGAAAUACACCUCUAAGAAUUAAAAUAUUAACAUAAAAUGAUCCACUUUUUGAUCAAUGAACCAAGUUACCCUGGGGAUAACAGCGCAAUCCAUUUCAAGAGCCCCUAUCGACAAAUGGGUUUACGACCUCGAUGUUGGAUCAGGGUAUCCUAGUGGUGUAGCAGCUACUAAUGGUUCGUUUGUUCAACGAUUAAAACCCUACGUGAUCU